rnacentral:tRNA from 1 species
UGGGGAAUAGGUUAACGGUAGACCCACGGACUCUGACUCCGUUAGUCCUGGUUCAGAAUCCAGGUUCCCCAGCCA